UCUAAAUUUGUUUUUGUGGACACACUGUGAUCAGUCGGUGGUUGAAAGCAGUCAGUCAAGUGCAAGAAGCAGCGGGCGACGACGACGAAGUUCUUUUUACCGCUGCGUAAACAAUAAUUUAGUUUGUUGAUAAGAUAUAUUCUUGGCAUAAACAGCUUUUAACAAUUAAAACGCGAAUUGUGUUGAUUCAUGUGUGUAAACAGUGAAAAGAGCGGCCAAAGUCAGCUCGAAUUAAAGGGCAACUUUCAUUGAAUUAACCAAAAAAAAAAAAGAAAAGAAUAAAACAAAACAACUGUUAAAAA